AUUGAACGCUGGCGGCAGGCCUAACACAUGCAAGUCGAACGAGUGGCGGACGGGUGAGUAAUGUCUGGGAAACUGCCUGAUGGAGGGGGCUAACUACUGGAAACGGUAGCUAAUACCGCAUACCAUCAGAUGUGCCCAGAUGGGAUUAGCUAGUAGGUGGGGUAAAGGCUCACCAAGGCGACGAGCCCUAGCUGGUCUGAGAGGAUGACCAGCCACACUGGAACUGAGACACGGGCCAGACUCCUACGGGAGGCAGCAGUGGGGAAUAUUGCACAAUGGGCGCAAGCCUGAUGCAGCCAUGCCGCGUGUAUGAAGAAGGCCUUCGGGUUGUAAAGUACUUUCAGCGGGGAGGCGUUACCCGCAGAAGAAGCACCGGCUAACUCCGUGCCAGCAGCCGCGUUAAUUC
rnacentral:rRNA from 1 species